rnacentral:rRNA from 1 species
GACGAACGCUGGCGGCGUGCCUAAUACAUGCAAGUCGAGCGGACCCUUCGGGGUCAGCGGCGGACGGGUGAGUAACACGUGGGCAAUCUGCCCGAUACUCUGGGAUAACGCUUGGAAACGAGUGCUAAUACCGGAUGGACUUCUUGGCCGCAUGGCCGAGAAGGAAAAGACGCGUUCGCGUCGGUGUCGGAUGAGCCCGCGGCGCAUUAGCUAGUUGGUGAGGUAACGGCCCACCAAGGCGACGAUGCGUAGCCGACCUGAGAGGGUGACCGGCCAC